AUUGAACGCUGGCGGCAUGCCUUACACAUGCAAGUCGAACGGCAGCACGGGAGCAAUCCNGGUGGCGAGUGGCGAACGGGUGAGUAAUAUAUCGGAACGUGCCCAGUCGUGGGGGAUAACGUAGCGAAAGCUACGCUAAUACCGCAUACGAUCUAUGGAUGAAAGCGGGGGAUCGCAAGACCUCGCGCGAUUGGAGCGGCCGAUAUCAGAUUAGGUAGUUGGUGAGGUAAAGGCUCACCAAGCCGACGAUCUGUAGCUGGUCUGAGAGGACGACCAGCCACACUGGGACUGAGACACGGCCCAGACUCCUACGGGAGGCAGCAGUGGGGAAUUUUGGACAAUGGGCGCAAGCCUGAUCCAGCAAUGCCGCGUGCAGGAUGAAGGCCUUCGGGUUGUAAACUGCUUUUGUACGGAACGAAACGGUGAGCUCUAAUACAGUUUGCUAAUGACGGUACCGUAAGAAUAAGCACCGGCUAACUACGUG
rnacentral:rRNA from 1 species